UACGUAGGGGGCUAGCGUUGUCCGGAUUUAUUGGGCGUAAAGAGCGUGUAGGCGGCCAGGUAGGUCUGCUGUGAAAACUCGAGGCUCAACCUCGAGACGUCGGCGGAAACCAUCUGGCUAGAGUCCGGAAGAGGAGAGUGGAAUUCCUGGUGUAGCGGUGAAAUGCGUAGAUAUCGGGAGGAACACCAGUGGCGAAGGCGGCUUCCUGGCCUGUUCUUGACGCUGAGGCGCGAAAGCUAGGGUAGCAAACGGG
rnacentral:rRNA from 1 species